rnacentral:rRNA from 1 species
UACAGAGGUAUCAAGCGUUGUUCGGAUUCAUUGGGCGUAAAGGGCGCGUAGGCGGCGGGGCAAGUCGGGUGUGAAAUCUCAGAGCUCAACUCUGAAAUGGCACUUGAUACUGCUCUGCUAGAGGACUGGAGAGGAGAUUGGAAUUCACGGUGUAGCAGUGAAAUGCGUAGAUAUCGUGAGGAAGACCGGUGGCGAAGGCGGAUCUCUGGACAGUUCCUGACGCUGAGGCGCGAAGGCCAGGGGAGCAAACGGG